rnacentral:rRNA from 1 species
AACGAACGCUGGCGGCGUGCCUAACACAUGCAAGUCGAACGAGAAAGGGGCUUCGGCUCCGAGUAAAGUGGCGCACGGGUGAGUAACACGUGGGUAACCUGCCUCUAAGAUUGGGAUAACUCGUCGAAAGAUGAGCUAAUACCGAAUAAGACCACAGUUCCUGCGGGAACAGGGGUCAAAGGUAGCCUCUGCUUGCAAGCUAUCACUUAGAGAUGGGCCUGCGCACCAUUAGCUAGUUGGUAGGGUAACGGCCUACCAAGGCAAAGAUGGUUAGCUGGUCUGAGAGGAUGAUCAGCCACACUGGAACUGAGACACGGUCCAGACUCCUACGGGAGGCAGCAGUGGGGAAUAUUGCGCAAUGGGCGAAAGCUUGACGCAGCAACGCCGCGUGAGUGAUGAAGGCCUUCGGGUCGUAAAGCUCUGUCGGGAGGAACGAAUGCUCCUGAGGUUAACAGCCUCGGGAGGUGACGGUACCUUCAAAGGAAGCACCGGCUAACUCUGUGCCAGCAGCCGCCGCCGUAA